rnacentral:rRNA from 1 species
GGGGAAUAUUGGACAAUGGGCGAAAGCCUGAUCCAGCAACGCCGCGUGAGGGAUGACGGCCUUCGGGUUGUAAACCUCUUUCAGCAGGGACGAAGCGAAAGUGACGGUACCUGCAGAAGAAGGACCGGCCAACUACGUGCCAGCAGCCGCGGUAAUACGUAGGGUCCGAGCGUUGUCCGGAAUUAUUGGGCGUAAAGGGCUCGUAGGCGGUUUGUCGCGUCGGGAGUGAAAAUCCAGGGCUCAACCCUGGACGUGCUUUCGAUACGGGCAGACUAGAGGUAUUCAGGGGAGAACGGAAUUCCUGGUGUAGCGGUGGAAUGCGCAGAUAUCAGGAGGAACACCGGUGGCGAAGGCGGGUCUCUGGGAAUUACCUGACGCUGAGGAGCGAAAGCAUGGGGAGCGAAC